GCCGAGAGGGAAAGAACCCAGACCCGCCGCUAAGGUCCCUAAGUUCUAGCUAAGUUGAACAAAGGAGGUCCAGUUGCUUUGACAGCCAGGAGGUUGGCUUGGAAGCAGCCAUUCCUUUAAAGAGUGCGUAACAGCUCACUGGUCGAGCGACCGGGCAUCGAUAAUACGCGGGCAUCAAGUCUAGUACCGAAGCUUUGGAUGUAACCUGAAAGACGGUUACGUGGUAGGGGAGCAUUCUCCUUGCGGUGAAGGCGUGUCGUCAGGCAUGUUGGAGCGUGGAGAAAAGCAUAUGUAGGCAUGAGUAACGAUAAUGCGGGUGAGAAACCCGCACGCCGAUAGACUAAGGUUUCCAGCUCAACGCUAAUCGGAGCUGGGUUAGUCGGGACCUAAGGGGCAGCCGAAAGGUGAACUCGAUGGACAGCAGGUUAAUAUUCCUGUACUGAUGGUAAAAAGUGAUGCAGUGACGCAGAAGUGAAAGCACCGCGGGCGGACGGAAGUGCCCGUUGAAGGCCGUAGGUAUUGGGAGAGUAGUUAAGUACGCUCACCUAGCCGAAAGCUGAUAGUACCGUACGUCCUUCGGGACACGCGGAUAGUGUGCCUAAUCCGACUGCCAAGAAAACCUGCUAAGCGUUUUAAUGAAAAAGUAACCCGUACCGCAAACCGACACAGGUAGUCAAGGAGAGUAUCCUGAGGGGCUCGAGUGAAUCACCGCUAAGGAACUCGGCAAAAUGGUCCUGUAACUUCGGGAGAAGGGACGCUUCCUUGCAGCAAUGCAAGAAGCCGCAGUGAAAAGGCCCAGGCGACUGUUUAACAAAAACACAUGACUUUGCGAACGCGCAAGCGGAAGUAUAAGGUCUGACACCUGCCCGGUGCCGGAAGGUUAAGAGGG
rnacentral:rRNA from 11 species